ensembl:lncRNA
CUUUGACAAAAGUAAAUAUUUUAUUCCUUCUUUUUUGUUAUUAAAUAAAAUUGAACACCCUGAUCUACAAACAUGCAGGAAAAAAAUGAAUUUCACUUCUUUUUUUUAAUGUCAGAAUUCAAGUUUUCACCUUACAAUCAGACUUGCUGUGCUAACAGUUUAUAUAUUAAUCCUCAAAGCAGCUUAAUGUCAUAACACUAUUAUAUCUGCCUUGCAGCUGAGACACAGAGGAAUUUUUGUACCAAGUUGUGCAGAGUUUAGGAGGAAAACCAGGAAGCAGUGUGGUAACCAGAAGUAAGUUCAAAGUCCUGAGCUCAGGUAGCAGCUCAGGUAGCUAACUAUCCUCAGAAAACAGAGCUUGCAAGACUCUACAUUUAAUUGACAGCUUUAUAGGGGAUUGCAAGAAAAUAUAGAUCAUGUGCAAGCAGGAAAUAGUUUCUAAGCUAAAAGACUCAUCAAAGAAAAGUAACAAUAUGCCCCAAAUCCAUCUGGAUCCAGCUAUUUCAAAUGAAGCCCAAUUUUUGAACACCCAAAGUACAUCUGUCAACAUCAGUUGUUUGUGGAGUGGCCAAGCCACAGCGGAAGCACUGGUGAACUUCUGGAAAACAAUUCGAACACAGUCAAAAAUCCAGGUCCUGUCUGCUUAGAGAAGGCUCUCCUUUUUUCCUGCUUUUCUCUUAUUUCCUAUCGAUUUUUCACUUGCUCUCUCCACUAUGUAGGAGCCUUAUAAAGACAACGGAUAGAGACAAACAUCUUAUUAAAGCCCUCUCAGACACUGUGGAGGUUGUGGAUCUGUAUCUCCAGUUGAAGAAAAGUGCUCUGAAUCAUCCUGCUGAACAAACGUAAGCUCUUUACAUAUUACAAGACUUGAAGUACUACCCGUAAUAGAAAAUGUGAAUGCAGAGAAACUAAAUCCAUUUUCCCAUUUUACACCAGAAAUCUCAACAGAUAAUGAAACCAAAUUAAAACCAUGAUCACUGUAGCUUACCUCCUUCAGCUCAACAAAACCGCUUUGCAGAAUUUUCUUAACUAUAAAUUAUCUGCUUGUAAGCAGAAAGCUUUUCUACAAGCUUUAUUUUGGCUCCACAGAUCUGUAGGUCUAGCCAAACUGUAUAAUCCGCUUCCCACUUAUGCCUAUUACAAACCCUAAAAAAGUGACCAUUUCACUGAAAAAAUUAUGCCAUGGACAAGCUGUUGAAAAUCAGCAGUAAUGAAUUACACCCUCUUGCCUAACCAAAGCUUUGUGCAGUGAUUGAAAGAAAAAUAAACACUGAUAUGAGUACACUGAAGGUUGGUUUACACUGUUAGAGGUUACUGGGUUUUGUUUUCUAAAUUACUGCAUGACAUUUUUAAAAUAUUAUUACUAUUUAAUUAUUCUGCUGAGGUUUUUUUUUGCUUUUUUUUUUUUUUCUUGCAUAGCUGUAAAACAAUAACGCUGUCUUCAGCAAUGUGACGAAGGUAUUAAAACUUCACUGUAUUAUGGCUAAGUGUUGACACCAGGAGAAUCACAAACACCUUCUCAAGUUGAUGUAAGGAGGUAAAAGGAAGAAGGAUCAAAUUCACCACAAAUAAUAAUUGAAGAUUUGUACAAGGAGUAGUCUCACAUCUUCCAGCAUCUAAAUUCAAAUCUGUGUUUGAUAAAAGUCUUU